ensembl:lncRNA
GUUACCCAGGAUGAAGAUGGGUCUUUGAAGUGGGAAAGUGUGAGUCAGGGCCCAGAGUAAGCACUGGGAAGUGGAGGGAGAGCAUGAAAGAGCCUCAGAGAGCAAGAAAAGUCCCAACGUGCAGAGCAAAUGGCACUCAGCCCCUCUGGUCAUGAGGAAGAGUCACUGCAUUGUACAAACACGUACAAAAGGAGGACUCAGUCAUUCCCAAGAAAUCAUUUAGUCAACCCAGAGAUGAAGUCCCACACCAGGAGUAUCCGCGGAGUCUCAGAUGCCACCUGGAAAAGGAUGCUCCGAUUAGCCCUAAGGAAGAGGCGUGGCUGAGAACAGGUGCCAAGGAAAUUUCCAAUCCAGGCUUCUCCCCGGGCAGACUGUUCCUAGAAUACACGUGGGCUUUUCUCACUGACAUGUCGAGCAGGGUAAACUGAGGCUCAAAGCUGGUGAUGGACUUGCUGAGGUCACCUGGCUGGUAAGAACUGGCCCUGCGUUGGAAUCCAGGCAGUCUGAUGCCCUCUGACCACCCCUCUACCAAAUGCCUGGCUGUUUGCUUCUGCUGCCAUUACGGUCUCUGUGGCUUGUUCCUCCCCUGCUGGGUGCACAGGGGCACUCUGAAUGUCCCUCCCCACAGCUUGGUGCUUAACCUGUUUACAGACCCCUGGGGAGACGCUAUGGACAUCAGCACAGUGACAGAGGUCAACACACCUGCGUCAAGGAUGGAAAGUGAGAGGAGAGAGAAUGAGGCUUCCUCACCCCGACCCGCGUGGCAUUCCCCAGGAUGAGCCCAGGGAAGACAGGAAUGAGGGGCCCACAGCCACUCAGCCUGGCAGGGCAGCAGCGGGGCCUCACCUGCAGGACGAGAAGGAGAGCUCUGACCUGGAGAGGAAGGCUCUCAUCCAUGUAGGCACACCCCUGGUCCUUCUUCCCCACGUUGGCUGGGGAGUUUUUUCCCACCAGCAUCCAAAUAAGCAUCCCAUCAGCUGUGGCUCCUCCACAGCCCCACAUGCUCCCCUGAACUCCAGGCCUGUGAGCUGCCUCCGGAUGUGAGCUG